rnacentral:lncRNA from 1 species
CUCAAAGGUGGAGGCCCCCAACUUCUACUCCUACUCCCAGACCUCUGGCCACCUCUGAACUUCUCAUGAAAGUUCCCUUUCCCCAGGAAAAAGGAAAAGUAUCUUCUAGUCACAUUCUUGGGCUGACCAUUCUGCAAAUGGAACUGUUCUCAGAUGUGAGAAGAAUUUGGCAAUCAUUAGAAUCAUAUCGAGGGAGUCUGGAGGUGAACUGUUUGAUGGCUCAUUUGCAUAGCACUAAAAUUCCUGAAGCCAGAGUUGAGGGGCUACUGUUCUCCCCUACUUCCCCAGGAUCAUGGUCAUCGUCAAUGUUCCAGGCAAAUCACUACCAAUCCAUCACUUCGUACUAA